GGGUCAAUGAAGACACCUCAACUUGUCUCGAAGAGAGAUGAUGACAUAAAAAUCAUGCUCAAUAGGAUCCCGCUGAGGCCC
rnacentral:snoRNA from 12 species